rnacentral:rRNA from 1 species
UGCCAGCCGCCGCGGUAAUACGGAGGGUGCGAGCGUUAAUCGGAAUUACUGGGCGUAAAGCGCGCGUAGGUGGUUUGUUAAGCGUGAUGUGAAAGCCCCGGGCUCAACCUGGGAACUGCAUCACGAACUGGCAGACUAGAGUACUGUAGAGGGUAGUGGAAUUUCUGGUGUAGCAGUGAAAUGCGUAGAUAUCAGAAGGAACACCGGUGGCGAAGGCGGCUGCCUGGACAGAUACUGACACUGAGGUGCGAAAGCGUGGGGAGCAAACGGGAUUAGAUA